UACGGAGGGUGCAAGCGUUAUCCGGAUUCACUGGGUUUAAAGGGUGCGUAGGUGGGUUGGUAAGUCAGUGGUGAAAUCUCCAGGCUUAACUUGGAAACUGCCAUUGAUACUAUCAAUCUUGAAUGCCGUGGAGGUCAGCGGAAUAUGUCAUGUAGCGGUGAAAUGCUUAGAUAUGACAUAGAACACCAAUUGCGAAGGCAGCUGGCUACACGAAUAUUGACACUGAUGCACGGAAGCGUGGGGAUCAAACAGG
rnacentral:rRNA from 1 species